rnacentral:rRNA from 1 species
UACAGAGGAGGCAAGCGUUGUCCGGAAUCACUGGGCGUAAAGGGCGCGUAGGCGGCCUGAUAAGUAGGGGGUGAAAUCCUGCGGCUUAACCGCAGGGCUGCCUUCUAAACUGUCAGGCUCGAGCACAGUAGAGGCAGGUGGAAUUCCCGGUGUAGCGGUGGAAUGCGUAGAGAUCGGGAAGAACAUCAGUGGCGAAGGCGGCCUGCUGGGCUGUUGCUGACGCUGAGGCGCGACAGCGUGGGGAGCAAACAGG